UUUAAAGAGAGUUUGAUCCUGGCUCAGGACGAACGCUGGCGGCGUGCCUAAUACAUGCAAGUCGAACGAACGGAGGAAGAGCUUGCUCUUCCAAAGUUAGUGGCGGACGGGUGAGUAACACGUGGGCAACCUGCCUGUAAGU
rnacentral:rRNA from 2 species